GUGAGGUUGCCCACGAACUUAAUAUGACUGAGGAGUUUGUGAAGAACCGUUGGAGAAAUCUUCGAGAUCGGUAUAUAAAGGAGAAAAAAAAGUCUGUAACAAAAAGUGGGCAAGCAGCUGUUCAUUUUGUACCAUAGUCAUUUAUGGAACAUUUACAUUUUUUAUCCGAUACAGUGGAACCUCGCAAGACUAUAACAAACUUCGAAAGUUUAGAACAUCCCUUAUCUAGAAGCGAUAUAUCACCAACAUCUUUG